GACGAACGCUGGCGGCGUGCUUAACACAUUCAAGUCGAACGGAAAGGCCCUGCUUUUGUGGGGUGCUCGAGUGGCGAACGGGUGAGUAACACGUGAGUAACCUGCCCUUGACUUUGGGAUAACUUCAUGAAACUGGGGCUAAUACCGGAUAGGAGCUCCUGCUGCAUGGUGGGGGUUGGAAAGUUUCGGCGGUUGGGGAUGGACUCGCGGCUUAUCAGCUUGUUGGUGGGGUAGCGGCUUACCAAGGCUUUGACGGGUAGCCGGCCUGAGAGGGUGACCGGCCACAUUGGGACUGAGAUACGGCCCAGACUCCUACGGGAGGCAGCAGUGGGGAAUAUUGCACAAUGGGCGGAAGCCUGAUGCAGCAACGCCGCGUGCGGGAUGACGGCCUUCGGGUUGUAAACCGCUUUCGCCUGUGACGAAGCGUGAGUGACGGUAAUGGGUAAAGAAGCACCGGCUAACUACGUG
rnacentral:rRNA from 1 species